rnacentral:rRNA from 1 species
ACUCCUACGGGAGGCAGCAGGCGCGAAAACUUUACAAUGCCGGCAACGGCGAUAAGGGGACCUCGAGUGCCAGGUUACAAAUCUGGCUGUCGUGAUGCCUAAAAAGCAUUGCAUAGCAAGGGCCGGGCAAGACCGGUGCCAGCCGCCGCGGUAACACCGGCGGCUCGAGUGGUAACCGUUAUUAUUGGGUCUAAAGGGUCUGUAGCCGGCCGGAUAAGUCUCUUGAGAAAUCCAGCAGCUCAACUGUUGGGCUUUCAGGAGAUACUGUUCGGCUCGAGGCCGGGAGAGGUGAGAGGUACUUCAGGGGUAGGGGUGAAAUCUUGUAAUCCUUGAAGGACCACCAGUGGCGAAGGCGUCUCACCAGAACGGACCUGACGGCAAGGGACGAAAGCUAGGGGCACGAACCGGAUUAGAUACCCGGGUAGUCCUAGCCGUAAACGAUACUCGCUAGGUGUCGGCCACGGUGCGACCGUUGUCGGUGCCGUAGGGAAGCCGUGAAGCGAGCCACCUGGGAAGUACGGCCGCAAGGCUGAAACUCAAAUGAAUUGACGG